rnacentral:lncRNA from 1 species
GCGCUCUCUUUCUGCUGCUCCCCAGCUCUCGGAUACAGCCGACACCAUGGGUUUCGGAGACCUGAAAAGCCCUGCCGGCCUCCAGGUGCUCAACGAUUACCUGGCGGACAAGAGCUACAUCGAGGGGUGUGUGUGAAUGUUUCUGUGUCCUUGGCAGGUAUGUGCCAUCACAAGCAGAUGUGGCAGUAUUUGAAGCCGUGUCCAGCCCACCGCCUGCCGACUUGUGUCAUGCCCUACGUUGGUAUAAUCACAUCAAGUCUUACGAAAAGGAAAAGGCCAGCCUGCCAGGAGUGAAGAAAGCUUUGGGCAAAUAUGGUCCUGCCGAUGUGGAAGACACUACAGGAAGUGGAGCUACAGAUAGUAAAGAUGAUGAUGACAUUGACCUCUUU